rnacentral:rRNA from 1 species
AUGUUCUGGAAAACUCUCUCACUGCUAGGUAUGAGCAAACUCUCACAACUUAAUCAAUUCUAUAAGCAACGUAGCAAGAAGAAUUGGGCAGUUAAGGGUGAUCGUAAUACUAAAUUUUUUCACCAAGCUGUUCUUAAACGUAGAAAGAGAAAUACUAUUUGUUCAAUUACAGAUGAGCAUGACAUGAUCCAUUUCAAACCUGAUGCCAUCAUGCAAACUUUUGUUAACUAUUUUAACAACGUGGACAUGCCUUUCCCUCUUACCCAAUGGUCUAAUGAUAAUGACAAUCCUACUUAUUCUGUCCGUGAUAAAGAUGAGAUUUUUCAGAUUCUUAAGGACAUGAAACUCAAUGCUUCUCCAGGGCCAGAUGGCUUCAAUGUGGAAUUUUAUUUAGCUACUUGGGAUUGGAUUGGAGAUGAAGUAACUCAGCUUGUGUCUAAUUUUUAUUCUACUGCCACUCUUCCUUCUCAUAUUAAUGACACCAAUAUCGCUCUCAUCCCUAAAAAGUUGGUUCCUCUUGUGCCCAUGGAUUAUAGGCUUAUUAGUCUUUGUAAUGUGCUCUAUAAAAUCAUUGCUAAAUCUUUGGCUAAUCGGCUUAAACCUCACCUUCCAGAUUUUAUUGACCCUCCUCAGCAAGCUUUUAUUGAGGGUAGAAGGAUUAGUGACAAUAAUAUUAUUGCUCAAGAGAUUGCUCACUCUUUUUCUCUCAAAUCAUGGAAACAGGAUGCUUUCAUGCUUAAGAUUGAUCUUGCUAAGGUUGUUGAUCGCCUUGAAUGGAAUUUUAUUGUUUACGCUCUGUCACGUAAAGGGCUGCAUGUCAUUUCAUUAAUUUGGUCUAUGCAUGCAUUUCUUCUCCCACGUUCUCUGUGCUCAUUAAUGGCCAGCCUUCUCAAAAGUUUAAAAGUUUCCAUGGAAUCCGACAAGGAUGUCCUAUGUCUCCUUACUUAUUUGUCAUUACUAUUAAUGAACUUUCAAUCAUGCUCAAUGAAGCUUUGCAGGCCAGUCAUUUAA